UUUCCGUAGGUGAACCUGCGGAAGGAUCAUUAUCGUAGGGCUUCGGCCCUGUCGAGUUAGAACCUUUGCCUUUUUGAGUACCUUUCGUUUCCUCGGAAGCCUCCGCUGCCAAUGGGGACCCCAAAAAACACGUUGCAGUACCUGUAGCAUUCGGAACAAACAAACAAAAAUUAAAACUUUCAACAACGGAUCUCUUGGUUCUG
rnacentral:misc_RNA from 1 species